ACAUAGCCCGAUGACGUUUCUUGUUCCUCUAGAGCACAAGGUACAGAUUAAGAUCUGCACUGAGACAGAACGCAGAGCAUUUCACUCAGGAAGAGAGCUAACACCAUGCUGAUCACCAGCCUGCUGAGAGCAGCCAUUGCCUCCAUCUGUCUUGCAACCAGUGUGGCUCAGAAGGUAACUCAGGCUCAGGCCGCGAUCUCUGUCAUAGAGAAGAAGGACGUGACAUUGGACUGUGUGUACGAAACCAGUGAGAGUACUUAUUCCUUAUUCUGGUACAAGCAGCCACCAAGUGGGGAAAUGGUUUUCCUUGUUCGCCAGGACUCUUAUAAUAAGGAAAACGCAACAGACGGUCGCUAUUCUCUGAACUUCCAGAAAUCUGCCAGCUACAUUGGGUUCACUGUCACAGCCACACGGAUUGAAGACUCAGCGGUGUAUUUCUGUGCUCUGACGAGAGCACAGUGA